UACAGAGGGGGCAAGCGUUGUUCGGAAUUACUGGGCGUAAAGGGCGCGUAGGCGGCCUUCUAAGUCGAACGUGAAAUCCCCGGGCUCAACCCGGGAACUGCGUCCGAUACUGGAAGGCUUGAAUCCGGGAGAGGGAUGCGGAAUUCCAGGUGGUAGCGGUGAAAUGCGUAGAUAUCUGGAGGAACACCGGUGGCGAAGGCGGCAUCCUGGACCGGCAUUGACGCUGAGGCGCGAAAGCCAGGGGAGCAAAGCGGG
rnacentral:rRNA from 1 species